UAGGGAAUCUUCGGCAAUGGACGGAANUUUGGACCGAGCAACGCCNCGUGAGUGAAGAAGGUUUUCGGAUCGUAAAGCUCUGUUGUAAGAGAAGAACGAGUGUGAGAGUGGAAAGUUCACACUGUGACGGUAUCUUACCAGAAAGGGACGGCUAACUACGUGCCAGCAGCCGCGGUAAUACGUAGGUCCCGAGCGUUGUCCGGAUUUAUUGGGCGUAAAGCGAGCGCAGGCGGUUAGAUAAGUCUGAAGUUAAAGGCUGUGGCUUAACCAUAGUAGGCUUUGGAAACUGUUUAACUUGAGUGCAAGAGGGGAGAGUGGAAUUCCAUGUGUAGCGGUGAAAUGCGUAGAUAUAUGGAGGAACACCGGUGGCGAAAGCGGCUCUCUGGCUUGUAACUGACGCUGAGGCUCGAAAGCGUGGGGAGCAAACAGGAUUAGAUACCCUGGUAGUCCACGCUGUAAACGAUGAGUGCUAGGUGUUAGACCCUUUCCGGGGUUUAGUGCCGUAGCUAACGCAUUAAGCACUCCGCCUGGGAGUACGACCGCAAGUUG
rnacentral:rRNA from 1 species